rnacentral:rRNA from 2 species
UAUANNUGCAGUCGACGAACUCUGGUAUUGAUUGGUGCUUGCAUCAUGAUUUACAUUUGAGUGAGUGGCGAACUGGUGAGUAACACGUGGGAAACCUGCCCAGAAGCGGGGGAUAACACCUGGAAACAGAUGCUAAUACCGCAUAACAACUUGGACCGCAUGGUCCGAGUUUGAAAGAUGGCUUCGGCUAUCACUUUUGGAUGGUCCCGCGGCGUAUUAGCUAGAUGGUGGGGUAACGGCUCACCAUGGCAAUGAUACGUAGCCGACCUGAGAGGGUAAUCGGCCACAUUGGGACUGAGACACGGCCCAAACUCCUACGGGAGGCAGCAGUAGGGAAUCUUCCACAAUGGACGAAAGUCUGAUGGAGCAACGCCGCGUGAGUGAAGAAGGGUUUCGGCUCGUAAAACUCUGUUGUUAAAGAAGAACAUAUCUGAGAGUAACUGUUCAGGUAUUGACGGUAUUUAACCAGAAAGCCACGGCUAACUACGUGCCAGCANC